CCUGCGUACUGUUGGCUUCUGUACUAUAAGAAAAGUUGGUUAAAUAGUAUAAAAGUGAUAUGUUUACUUAACUGUCCAAAUCCAAAUGUCUGUCCUUUGCUUGGGACCCGGCCCUGCAAUUGUUCUUACAUUACCUUAAACACAAGUUUCUGUAAUCAAAAUCCUUUUGAACGGGAGUCAUUGUCACUUAAACAGAACCUUUGUGAAUUUAGUCAAUUCAAGACUUCAAUGUACCUCAAAAGGUAAAUAAGGGAUACCCAACAAAUAACGAAUGCUCAUGUACAGGUGUUUGUGCGUGAACAGAAUUAAUACCAUAAACACUUCCCCUGACGUAAUGUAUGCAGACAACCUUAAUCAAUUAUACUAUUAAAGGUUAAAUCUGUUUUGUAGCUAUAACUAGAAAAACCGAUAACGUAUACCUUAAGAAAUACACUGCAAUGCCACCAAUGUGUUCAUGGCACACAUUGCCUAUUAGCAGCAUUAAAGGAACACUCCAGAAAUGUCUGUUAUCCUGACGUUUGUAAUAUUUGACAGUUUGUGUUAAGAAAGUUCAGAUUUUUAUAACUGGGGCAGAAACAUCUGCAGUAGGUUAUCUACCUCUUGAGCUCCACAG